CCCUGGGUAGUGCAAAUAGUUAACAUGCUUGGCCGCUAACCAAAAGGCUGGUGGUUUGAGUCCACCCCGAGGGG
rnacentral:tRNA from 1 species